AUGGACGUCACAAAGAUUUACAGCGACAGCAAAAGGCACAAAAUACCCAUGUCACCCUCAGCCACAGGUGCUGUCUCUGCCAUACAGCUGGUGCUGUCUGGCCCAGGGGUGGUGAAGCCUGGAGAGACCCUCGCCCUGACCUGCGCUGUCUCUGGAGAGUCCAUCGCUACAAGCACCACAUGGUGGACCUGGGUCCAGCAACCUCCUGGAAAAGGCCUGGAGUGGAUGGGGGAGAUUAGCUACAGUGUGGGAACCAGCUACAACCCACCCCUGAAGAGCCGGGUCACCAUCUCCAGGGACACCUCCAAGAACCAGUUCUCCCUCCAAGCCCAAUUGCUGAUGGCUGCAGACACGGCCACCUAUUACUGUGCCAGAAACACAGUGACACAGGGCAGAGCAGAGGAGGAGCUGCACAAAAAUGGGAAGCAGGUUCUUAACAGGCAACAGUGA